GAUUUUUUAACUUAACGGAUAAAGUGCAAACUUGAUAAGUUUGAAAUAUAGGUUCAAUUCCUUUAAAAAUCA
rnacentral:tRNA from 1 species